GAGCGAGAAAGGGGCAACCCCGAGUAAAGCGGCGCACGGGUGAGUAACACGUAGGUAAUUUACCCCCAGGUGGUGGAUAACCUUCCGAAAGGAGGGCUAAUACAGCGUAAGACCACGACUCCGCGAGGAGAUGAGGUCAAAGCCGGCCUCUUCAUGAAAGCUGGCGCCAGGGGAUGAGCCUGCGGCCCAUCACGGUAGUUGGUAGGGUAAUGGCCUACCAAGCCUAAGACGGGUAGCUGGUCUGAGAGGAUGAUCAGCCACACUGGAACUGAGACACGGUCCAGACUCCUACGGGAGGCAGCAGUGGGGAAUCUUGCGCAAUGGGCGAAAGCCUGACGCAGCGACGCCGCGUGAGUGAUGAAGGCCUUCGGGUUGUAAAGCUCUGUGGGGAGGGACGAAUAAGUGCUGGCUAACAUCCAGCGCGAUGACGGUACCUCUUUAGCAAGCACCGGCUAACUCUGUG
rnacentral:rRNA from 1 species